AACGAACGCUGGCGGCAUGCCUAACACAUGCAAGUCGAACGAGACCUUCGGGUCUAGUGGCGCACGGGUGCGUAACGCGUGGGAAUCUGCCCUUCGGUUCGGAAUAACUCAGGGAAACUUGAGCUAAUACCGGAUAAUGACGUAAGUCCAAAGAUUUAUCGCCGAAGGAUGAGCCCGCGUAGGAUUAGCUUGUUGGUGGGGUAAUGGCCCACCAAGGCGACGAUCCUUAGCUGGUCUGAGAGGAUGAUCAGCCACACUGGGACUGAGACACGGCCCAGACUCCUACGGGAGGCAGCAGUGGGGAAUAUUGGACAAUGGGCGAAAGCCUGAUCCAGCAAUGCCGCGUGAGUGAUGAAGGCCUUAGGUUGUAAAGCUCUUUUACCCGGGAUGAUGAUGACAGUACCGGGAGAAUAAGCUCCGGCUAACUCCGUGCCAGCAGCCGCGGUAAU
rnacentral:rRNA from 1 species